CUCUUUGUUCGAGCAACUGCGAAUCGAUAUACACAUAUUCGCUUUCAAUUCUAUUAAUACAAAUUUAUCGAUUACGACAUUCAGCAAUGAAGAGACUGACUCAGAAGAAGAAGAUUCGCUUGUAACUUAGAGGGCCAUUCCAGCUACGCCCGGACGGGUAGAUGAGCUCACAGAUUUGCUAACACUGAGAGAAUUUGCUGACACUAGCCCUAGCAACAGCAGUGCUUUGCUGAAUGUACUAUUCGCCACCCACUGAGAAGAUCCGGCGAGAAACUCAGCGGGCUUAGUCUAUGAGUAACAAAUCUACAUAAAACCGAGUUAAAACGCGUCAUAAAUAUAUGCGAUCCUCUACAUAGUGGAGUUAACAAAACUGGACACACAAACUGCGAAUGUACUGUGCUGUAAUAUUUAAGUGAGUAUGACGCUAAUUAAGGACCGACCAAGGGCUACAUUGUUAGCCUGUAUCCUAUUGGGAAAUUAGCGGCAAAUUGCAAGUAGUUUCUCGUGUUACACAGUUUAAGUGACACGAUUUAGCGAUUAAGUUCUCGUUUGAAUUAUUUCACAUCAAAUUCUUUUUUUUUUUUUUUGGAACAAAGUUCCUUAUGGGACUAUGCGGAGGGGUGCCCUAACCGGGAAAAAACAUCCGUAACGUAAGAUUUUUAUUAGUAAUGCAACACACACAGUGUACGGCUUAACUUUGUUAUAACGUACAAAAAAUAACAUAUUUUUAUUAUAUAUUUUUUAUAAAUCAUUGUGAAUAAAACAAACUUGAUAACUUUGUAAA